GAUGAACGCUAGCGACAGGCUUAACACAUGCAAGUCGAGGGGCAGCGAGGGCGUAGCAAUACGCCUGUCGGCGACCGGCGCACUGGUGAGUAACACGUAUGCGACCUGCCCCCUACAGGGGUAUAACCCGUAGAAAUGCGGACUAAUCCCCCAUAGUCCUGGGUGCUGCAUGGCAUUCAGGGGAAAGGGUUUCCGGUAGGGGAUGGGCAUGCGGCGCAUUAGCUAGUUGGCGGGGCAACGGCCCACCAAGGCGACGAUGCGUAGGGGUUCUGAGAGGAAGGUCCCCCACAUUGGAACUGAGACACGGUCCAAACUCCUACGGGAGGCAGCAGUGAGGAAUAUUGGUCAAUGGGCGAGAGCCUGAACCAGCCAAGUAGCGUGCAGGACGACGGCCCUAUGGGUUGUAAACUGCUUUAUAAGGGAAUAAAGUGAGUCUCGUGAGACUUUUUGCAUGUACCUUAUGAAUAAGGACCGGCUAAUUCCGUG
rnacentral:rRNA from 1 species